rnacentral:rRNA from 1 species
UACAGAGGUCUCAAGCGUUGUUCGGAUUCACUGGGCGUAAAGGGUGCGUAGGCGGCGCGGUAAGUCGGGUGUGAAAUCUCGGGGCUUAACUUCGAAACUGCAUUCGAUACUGCCGUGCUUGAGGACUGGAGAGGAGACUGGAAUUUACGGUGUAGCGGUGAAAUGCGUAGAUAUCGUAAGGAAGACCAGUGGCGAAGGCGGGUCUCUGGACAGUUCCUGACGCUGAGGCACGAAGGUCAGGGGAGCAAACGGG